rnacentral:rRNA from 1 species
GGGGUGGCUCGAGUGGCGAACGGGUGAGUAACACGUGAGUAACCUGCCCUUGACUUUGGGAUAACUUCAGGAAACUGGGGCUAAUACCGGAUAGGAGCUCCUGCUGCAUGGUGGGGGUUGGAAAGUUUCGGCGGUUGGGGAUGGACUCGCGGCUUAUCAGCUUGUUGGUGGGGUAGUGGCUUACCAAGGCUUUGACGGGUAGCCGGCCUGAGAGGGUGACCGGCCACAUUGGGACUGAGAUACGGCCCAG